GGCCUCGUAGCUCAGCUGGUAGAGCAUACGCGUACAAAGCGUAGGCGGCGUCCAUGCGUGGGUUCGAAUCCCAAUGAGGCUA
rnacentral:tRNA from 1 species